GCCUGGGUGGCUCAGUCGGUUAAGCAUCCGAUUUCGGCUCAGGUCAUGAUCCCACGGUUCGUGGGUUCAAGCCCCACGUCGGGCU
rfam:Felis catus isolate Cinnamon breed Abyssinian chromosome A1, whole genome shotgun sequence.